CAUAACUGUGGUUUAUAUAGCCGUCUUGUUCAUAAACAGAAGUUUCAUUUAUCGGUGUGGGACGGCUGAGUCAGCUGAAAAACUCAUUUCAUUCAUUCUCCACACGAUGUUCAUUUACAGAAACGUUUCAGAGAAACUGAUUUCUCUACCAAAGUGUGAACCAGUGUUUCCAUAGAUGACUUCUGUAUGAAUGUACUUCUUAUAGGAAGCUCAGUGUUUGUCCUGUUUCUGCUCCUCAGGUUCAGUAAAUAUCAAACACUUCAGUGGAUUUUCUCUCACAUAUAUUUGGUGUUUGCCCUGCGAUAAACUGUCCUGCUUUUGCCCCGUGGCAGCUGGGACAGGCUUCAACCCUGAAGUGGAAAUAUUGUAUUCCAAGUAUGUAAUCUGAUCAUUUACAAAGUCAAAGUCUCUCAUCAACAUGUAAGUAAUGAUUAUAAACAUGGGAAAGCAGACAUAAAGGUGACAUAUGAGGACAGCUACAUGUAGUGUGUUUGCAGGUCUAUCAGCACAUAGAAGAGUUUGUUAAAGUCUGAUUCAGUGAACCCUGAUUGGUCCAGUCUGUCUGGAUAAAUUCAGUUAGCUGAUCUGUGACCAGUUAUUCACACAUUUUCUUAACUAAUGAUUCAGUUCAGGAUGACAGAGGGGCUGCAGCUGGAUAUGUCCAAUAAAUACACCUUACAAAAGUCACAAUAAACCUGCAUCCAUGUACGUUGUUGUCCACAGGAUGAGAAAAUCCAGAUGAUCAAAGUGGAAGACUGUGGAACAUGUGAAUGCAUGUUUGUGUGUUUAUGCCUGUGUCUGUCAGAGGAGGCUGGAGGCUCUGAAAGGCUCCCCCACCAGUUCCUGCUCAAUCAAAGCAGCAAACUUGAUGCUAUAGGCUACAUUUUAUUUAAUGGUAGAAAAAUAAGGUUUCAAAUCAGUGGGUAGCAGAUGUUAUUACCCAUUUGGAGCCCACUUCUACUAUAAGAGAUUUCCUGGAGACGAUGCAGAGGGCUUAUGAAUUUAUCUUGACUAAGAGUGAAAUCUUUUUGUGCUCACAGCACUUUCAGUUCAGUUAAAUGUCAUGUAUGUAGCAGCGUUUCACAACAAGUGGUCUCAACCUGCUGUCAGAACCAGAAUCCUUUAUUCAUGAAGUCAGGACCCUGAGUGAAGAACAGGCAGAGACUCUGAUCAACAAGCAGGCAGAGCCUCACCGAGGAGCAGCCUGAGACGACCACCAAGGAGCAUCAAGCUUCUCCUCCAGGAGCAUCCAAAGAGCCUGUCAGACGAGCAGACAGAGACUGUUUUUGUUCUCCUUCCUUUAUCUCCUCCUUCUGGUCCAUGCUCCCAGUCUUUCCAGCAGAAGAAGAGAGAGAAGCUCCACUCCAACACCUUCCACCACCUGUUAAACCCACAGACCAUCUCUGCAGUCUCUUCAUCCACCUGCUGCCAUCUCCCAGUCUUUAAGUCAGGGUGGCCAACAUGAAAAUAAGAGGAGGAAGAGAAUGAUAUUUUCCAGUGGGUAAAAUCUGGGAUGACACGUGGGAGCCCACCAGUGAAUGUCAGCAGCACUUUGCCUGAUGUGCCGCCUCCUUCAGCCAGAGAGUCUUUUCAUUGUGUUACAAACAAGUCACAUAUAAUAUCUGCAGACUGUACUUGUGUCAUAAAUAUGUGGAGCCAAAGAUCCAAACAUCCAGAUACCACAUUGGUCACCGACAGGAUGUCUUCAUUUUAAGCACUUUGAUUGGUUACAAAUGUCAGACACACAUUUAUACCUGUUUAAAUGCAUUGUUUUAUGCAGAAAUCUGUAUCUUAUGUUACUCACAGUACUAGUUGUGUAAUCUUAUGUUGAAUGUUUUCAUUGUUCAGCAUGUUUUCUGCUGCGUUCUGUAAAAAGUGAGAGCAGAAGGUGAAAAGUGGUUCUCAGACUGGCUGAUCCAGUUUGAGCAUCACUGCGUUAGCCGGGUCCUUCUGACUGUACUGGGGGCUGUAAUUCACAAAACCAGUGACAUGUUGCAGUGAAUCUGACCUGAAACCAGCAACUGAGCCCAUAAACUCAUCACUCUGUUUGCUUUACCUUCUCAAAUAAAGGCGGCAUCAUAAA